GCUGGCGACUACACCACGUAGAAACCUCUGGUUCCGUCACACCAACAAGGUUGUGCUACGUCGGGCCGGGUUAGUACACUAUAUGGUGACGGGUAAGGAACGCUCGGGGUCGCUGGCC
rnacentral:rRNA from 1 species